UACGAAGGGGGCUAGCGUUGCUCGGAAUCACUGGGCGUAAAGCGCACGUAGGCGGAUUGUUAAGUCAGGGGUGAAAUCCUGGAGCUCAACUCCAGAACUGCCUUUGAUACUGAAGAUCUUGAGUUCGGGAGAGGUGAGUGGAACUGCGAGUGUAGAGGUGAAAUUCGUAGAUAUUCGCAAGAACACCAGUGGCGAAGGCGGCUUCCUGGCCUGUAACUGACGCUGAGACGCGAAAGCGUGGGGAGCGAACCGG
rnacentral:rRNA from 1 species